rnacentral:tRNA from 1 species
GAGGGCAUAGCUCAGUGGUUGAGCGCAUGCUUAGCACGCAUGAGGUCCUGGGUUCAAUCCCCAGUGUCUCCG